rnacentral:rRNA from 1 species
UACGUAGGUGGCAAGCGUUGUCCGGAUUUACUGGGCGUAAAGAGCGCGCAGGCGGUCGGAUAAGUCGAAUGUGAAAGCCCCCGGCUUAACUGGGGAGGGUCAUUCGAUACUGUUCGACUGGAAGGCAGGAGAGGGAAGCGGAGUUCCCGGUGUAGUGGUGAAAUGCGUAGAUAUCGGGAGGAACACCAGUGGCGAAGGCGGCUUCCUGGCCUGUUCUUGACGCUGAGGCGCGAAAGCUAGGGGAGCAAACGGG